GGGGUGAUGGUGUAGCUGGUUAUCGCAUCUGUCUGACGGCAAUUCUGUGCACAAAAGGUCCUCAGUUUGAACCUGGGUUGGCUUA